UAAAGUGGCGAACGGCUGAGUAACACGUGGGCAACCUGCCCUUUGCACUGGGAUAGCCUCGGGAAACCGAGGUUAAUACCGGAUACUCCAUAUUUGUCGCAUGGCGAAUAUGGGAAAGCUCCGGCGGCAAAGGAUGGGCCCGCGGCCUGUUAGCUAGUUGGUGGGGUAGUGGCCUACCAAGGCAAUGAUGGGUAGCCGGGUUGAGAGACCGACCGGCCAGAUUGGGACUGAGACACGGCCCAGACUCCUACGGGAGGCAGCAGGG
rnacentral:rRNA from 1 species